AGCGAACGCUGGCGGCAGGCUUAACACAUGCAAGUCGAGCGGGCGUAGCAAUACGUCAGCGGCAGACGGGUGAGUAACGCGUGGGAACGUACCUUUUGGUUCGGAACAACACAGGGAAACUUGUACUAAUACCGGAUAAGCCCUUACGGGGAAAGAUUUAUCGCCGAAAGAUCGGCCCGCGUCUGAUUAGCUAGUUGGUGAGGUAACGGCUCACCAAGGCGACGAUCAGUAGCUGGUCUGAGAGGAUGAUCAGCCACAUUGGGACUGAGACACGGCCCAAACUCCUACGGGAGGCAGCAGUGGGGAAUAUUGGACAAUGGGCGCAAGCCUGAUCCAGCCAUGCCGCGUGAGUGAUGAAGGCCCUAGGGUUGUAAAGCUCUUUUGUGCGGGAAGAUAAUGACGGUACCGCAAGAAUAAGCCCCGGCUAACUUCGUGCCAGCAGCCGCCGU
rnacentral:rRNA from 1 species